rnacentral:rRNA from 1 species
AGAUUGAACGCUAGCGGGAUGCUUUACACAUGCAAGUCGAACGGCAGCGCGGACUUCGGUCUGGCGGCGAGUGGCGAACGGGUGAGUAAUAUAUCGGAACGUGCCCAGUAGCGGGGGAUAACGUAGCGAAAGUUACGCUAAUACCGCAUACGAUCUAAGGAUGAAAGCAGGGGACCGCAAGGCCUUGUGCUCCUGGAGCGGCCGAUAUCUGAUUAGCUAGUUGGUAGGUAAAGGCCUACCAAGCUACGAUCAGUAGCUGGUCUGAGAGGACGACCAGCACACUGGAACUGAGACACGGUCCAGACUCCUACGGGAGCAGCAGGUGGGAAUUUUGACAAGUGGCGCAAGCCUGAUCCAGCAAUGCCGCGUGAGUGAAGAAGGUCCUCGGUUGAAAGUCUCUUUUGUCGAGGAAGAACGGUGGAG